rnacentral:rRNA from 1 species
UGCCGCGUGCGGGAAGAAGGCCUUCGGGUUGUAAACCGCUUUUGUCAGGGAAGAAACKSUCUGGGCUAAUACCCUGGGSUAAUGACGGUACCUGAAGAAUAASCACCGGCUAACUACGUGCCAGCAGCCGCGGUAAUACKUAKGGUGCAAGCGUUAAUCGGAAUUACUGGGCGUAAAGCGUGCGCARGCGGUYUUGYAAGACAGAUGUGAAAUCCCCGGGCUCAACCUGGGAACUGCAUUUGUGACUGCARGGCUKGAGURCGGMARAGGGGGAUGGAAUUCCGCGUGUAGCARUGAAAUGCGUARAUAUGCGGAGGAACACCGAUGGCGAAGGCAAUCCCCUGGRCCUGUACUGACGCUCAUGCACRAAAGCGUGGGGAGCAAACAGGAUUAGAUACCCUGGUAGUCCACGCCCUAAACGAUGUCAACUGGUUGUUGGGAAGGUUCCUUCUCAGUAACGUAGCUAACGCGUGAAGUUGACCGCCUGGGGA